rnacentral:rRNA from 1 species
UACGUAGGUGGCAAGCGUUGUCCGGAAUUAUUGGGCGUAAAGCGCGCGCAGGCGGCCUUUUAAGUCUGAUGUGAAAGCCCACGGCUCAACCGUGGAAGGUCAUUGGAAACUGAAAGGCUUGAGUACAGAAGAGGAAAGCGGAAUUCCACGUGUAGCGGUGAAAUGCGUAGAUAUCGGAAGGAACAUCAGUGGCGAAAGCGACUUCCUGGACCAAUACUGACGCUCAUGUGCGAAAGCGUGGGGAGCAAACAGG